UUUGGUCUUUUGAGCGGUGUGGUCCCACCUCUUCCCAUUCCGAACAGAGAAGUGAAACACUCCAGCGCCUACGAUACUCGGAUUUAUCCGGGGAAAAUGGGUCAAGGCCAGGG
rnacentral:rRNA from 2 species